rnacentral:rRNA from 1 species
AACGUAGGUGGCGAGCGUUAUCCGGAUUUACUGGGCGUAAAGGGUGUGCAGGCGGCCCCUCAAGUGGUGUAUGAAAGGGCUCGGCUCAACCGGGCUAGGUUAUGCCAGACUGAGGGGCUAGAGAGCGAGAGCGGGACGUGGAAUUCCGGGUGUAGUGGUGAAAUGCGUAGAGACCCGGAGGAACCCCAGAGGCGAAGGCGGCGUCCUGGCUCGCAUCUGACGCUCAGACACGACAGCAUGGGGAGCGAACGGG